rnacentral:rRNA from 1 species
UACGGAAGGCAGCAGUGGGGAAUAUUGCACAAUGGGCGCAAGCCUGAUGCAGCCAUGCCGCGUGUAUGAAGAAGGCCUUCGGGUUGUAAAGUACUUUCAGUCGUGAGGAAGGUGUUAAGGUUAAUAACCUUAGCAAUUGACGUUAGCGACAGAAGAAGCACCGGCUAACUCCGUGCCAGCAGCCGCGGUAAUACGGAGGGUGCGAGCGUUAAUCGGAAUUACUGGGCGUAAAGGGCACGCAGGCGGUUAAUUAAGUUGGAUGUGAAAUCCCCGGGCUUAACCUGGGAAUGGCAUUCAAGACUGGUUAGCUAGAGUCUUGUAGAGGGGGUAGAAUUCCAUGUGUAGCGGUGAAAUGCGUAGAGAUGUGGAGGAAUACCGGUGGCGAAGGCGGCCCCUGGCAAAGACUGACGCUCAUGUGCGAAAGCGUGGGGAGCAAAC